GCAGGCAAGUCUUCUGUUCCAUUGUCCGUGGACGUACGUUGCAUCGAACUCUUUAUCAAUAAAAUAUUAAGAUGCCUUGUGGAGGUUGUGGCGAUAAUUGCAAAUGCACUCCGGCUCAGUGCUGCCAGAGUUGCAAGUGUGAUUCAUCCUGCUCAUGUUCUUGCAAGCGGUCGACCACUGACUCGACCACAAAAAAGAAUUGAUGAAGAAAUGUCUUCAAAAUUAAAGCAUUAAUCGUUUUUUCGUAAUGAAAAUAGAUAUAUCGUAAUUACGCUUUUUUAUUUGCAUUCAAUUUAGAAAAUUUAUUCUCCUUAACAUUAUUUGUUAUCUAUGUGUAAUUUACAUCUUGUAAAAACAAAUUUAGGUGCAAAUAAUAAUAAAAAAAAAAUAGAACGCACAAUAUGUCCGUUCGUCACAUCCGUAAUCUGACAU